CACCUCUCAGGAUUGCACUUGGAGAGUUUCCAGUACUCUAUCAGUCUCAGCUACGGGAGGGAGAGUCAAGCAGAGACAAACCCAUUCUAUUUGUAGCUUGGGCGGUGGCUAGCAAGUGGAAGGCAACCUGCUACAAAU